GGAGGUCAGUUUUGGAAACAGACUCAUUGAAAGCCCGUCAAAGUACUGUAGCUAAGACCAUCAGAGACAGAAACCUCAUGUUUUGUACUUGAGAGAAAAGCCAAAGGCAACAUAAGUAUAAAGAGCAAAUAACAGCAAUACAACAAAACAGGAGCAUCCUCCAUUUAUGUGGGAUGCGUGCCUCAAGAACCAGUGAUUGGCUCUUCUAAGAGAUCCAUUCAGACCAAUGCAAAAUGCCAAGAUGAAUCAGUCAAUAUGCCUGAAAUGUUUGCAGAUUGGACACACGUUGGCACUGAGGCCCAAUAUUCAAUAAGCGGCACUAUCUUCACUUAUUCUUCUUCAGCACCCAUUGAAGGAAUCCACAGUUGUACUUCUAUAAAUCUAGAGCUGCCAGUGUUGCAUCUCCCUUAAGGAUCUUCUUUCCUGCUGGAGCUGUGGAGUGUGACAAUGGUGUUUGUAUCCAAUCCGUCAAACGCCAUUAUCACACUAAAUAGCUACUGCUAGAGAAGCCAUCGGUUCAGGUUUGGGGCAGGAGGAAGAAGAAGAGAAUACAACCGUUUUCAAGACAACUCUUUACUUUUAUGGAGUCAAAAGACUAUACAUUAAAUAAAAAUAUGCUCUGCUUUCCUAAAACUA